UACGGGAGGCAACAGUGGGGAAUAUUGCACAAUGGGCGCAAGCCUGAUGCAGCCAUGCCGCGUGUAUGAAGAAGGCCUUCGGGUUGUAAAGUACUUUCAGCGGGGAGGAAGGCGAUGCGGUUAAUAACCGCGUCGAUUGACGUUACCCGCAGAAGAAGCACCGGCUAACUCCGUGCCAGCAGCCGCGGUAAUACGGAGGGUGCAAGCGUUAAUCGGAAUUACUGGGCGUAAAGCGCACGCAGGCGGUCUGUUAAGUCAGAUGUGAAAUCCCCGGGCUUAACCUGGGAACUGCAUUUGAAACUGGCAGGCUUGAGUCUUGUAGAGGGGGUAGAAUUCCGAGGUGUAGCGGUGAAUGCGUAGAGAUCUGGAGGAAUACCGGUGGCGAAGGCGGCCCCUGGGACAAAGACUGACGCUCGAGGUGCGAAAGCGUGGGGAGCAAACGAGGAUUAGAUA
rnacentral:rRNA from 1 species